rnacentral:tRNA from 1 species
GGACUGGUAGCUCAAUUGGUUAGAGCAUCUGCCUGUCACGCAGAAGGUUGCGGGUUCAAGUCCCGUCCAGUCCG